UGAUGAUGGUGAGGGUAGUUUUUGAGCAUAAUUUUAAAUCUCUCCCAAGCUUGGUAAAGAUUCUCUUAUUCUUUCUGUCUAAAACUCAGGAUCUCACUUCUCAAACA
rfam:Capsicum annuum cultivar Zunla-1 chromosome 11, whole genome shotgun sequence